rnacentral:rRNA from 1 species
UACGGGGGGGGCAAGCGUUGUUCGGAAUUACUGGGCGUAAAGGGCGUGUAGGUGGCCAACUAAGUCCGACGUGAAAUCCCCAGGCUUAACCUGGGAACUGCGUCGGAUACUGGAUGGCUUGAAUUCGGGAGAGGGAUGCAGAAUUCCAGGUGUAGCGGUGAAAUGCGUAGAGAUCGGGAAGAACAUCGGUGGCGAAAGCGCUCUACUGGACCGCAACUGACACUCAGGGACGAAAGCUAGGGGAGCGAAUGGG